UACGUAGGGCGCAAGCGUUAUCCGGAAUUAUUGGGCGUAAAGAGCUCGUAGGCGGUUUGUCGCGUCUGCCGUGAAAGUCCGGGGCUCAACUCCGGAUCUGCGGUGGGUACGGGCAGACUAGAGUGAUGUAGGGGGAGACGUGGAAUUCCUGGUGUAGCGGUGAAAUGCGCAGAUAUCAGGAGGAACACCGGUGGCGAAGGCGGGUCUCUGGGCCGAUACUGACGCUGAGGAGCGAAAGCGUGGGGAGCGAACAGG
rnacentral:rRNA from 1 species